rnacentral:tRNA from 1 species
AAUCUCAUAGUUUAAUCAGGUAAAAUGUACCGCUCAUAACGGUUUAGAUAUUGGUUCGAAUCCAAUUGAGUCAA